CGAAAGAGUGGCUAAUACCGCAUACGAUCUACGGAUGAAAGCGGGGGAUCGCAAGACCUCGCGCGUCUGGAGCGGCUGAUGGCAGAUUAGGUAGUUGGUGGGAUAAAAGCCUACCAAGCCAACGAUCUGUAGCUGGUCUGAGAGGAUGAUCAGCCACACUGGGACUGAGACACGGCCCAGACUCCUACGGGAGGCAGCAGUGGGGAAUUUUGGACAAUGGGCGAAAGCCUGAUCCAGCCAUUCCGCGUGCAGGAUGAAGGCCCUCGGGUUGUAAACUGCUUUUGUACAGAACGAAAAAGCUCUGGCUAAUACCUGGAGUCCAUGACGGUACUGUAAGAAUAAGCACCGGCUAACUACGUGCCAGCAGCCGCGGUAAUACGUAGGGUGCAAGCGUUAAUCGGAAUUACUGGGCGUAAAGCGUGCGCAGGCGGUUUUGUAAGACAGAGGUGAAAUCCCCGGGCUCAACCUGGGAACUGCCUUUGUGACUGCAAGGCUGGAGUGCGGCAGAGGGGGA
rnacentral:rRNA from 1 species